rnacentral:rRNA from 1 species
GACGAACCGUGCGAACGUUGUUCGGAAUCACUGGGCUUAAAGGGCGCGUAGGCGGGCUCACAAGUCAGGGGUGAAAUCCCACGGCUCAACCGUGGAAGUGCCUUUGAUACUGUGGGUCUUGAGGGAGGUAGGGGCGUGCGGAACUUCCGGUGGAGCGGUGAAAUGCGUAGAUAUCGGAAGGAACACCGGUGGCGAAAGCGGCGCGCUGGACCUCUUCUGACGCUGAGGCGCGAAAGCCAGGGGAGCAAACGGG